rnacentral:rRNA from 1 species
GCAAGUCGAACGGGACCAGGGGCAACUCUGGUUCAGUGGCGGACGGGUGCGUAACACGUGAGGAACAUGACCUUCGGCGGGGGAUAGCCGGCCCAACGGCCGGGUAAUACCGCGUACGCCCUUUCGGGGCCAUCCCUGGAUGGUGAAAGCAGCACUGCGCCGAUGGAGUGCCUCGCGGCCUAUCAGCUAGGUGGUGAGGUAACGGAACACCAAGGCAACGACGGGUAGCUGGUCUGAGAGGAUGGCC